GAUGGGCACGCGUUCAUAAGCUAUUGGUGAGGACAGCUCUCAAGACAAGAUGGGUAGCCGCCUUUAGGGGUGACCGCCCCCACUGGGUAGAGAUACGGCCCAGAUUCUUAUGGGGGCACCGUUGGAGAGGUUUCCCAAUGGGGGGAACCCUGUUGAAGGACCCCGCGUUGGUGAUGAAAGUUUUUGGAUUGUAAAACCCUUUUGGCAGGGACGAGCGGAUUGUUUGUUAAUAACUUUCAAUUUUCGACGGUACCUGCACAAGAAGCUCCGGCUAACUCCGUGCCAGCAGCCGCGGUAAGACGGGGGGAGCAAGCGUUGUUCGGAUUUACUGGGCGUAAAGGGCGUCUAGGCGGAUUAGUAAGUCAGGUGUGAAAUCCUCCGGCUCAACCGGAGAACUGCACUUGAUACUGCUGGUCUUGAGUACGGAAGAGGGAAGCGGAAUUCCUGGUGUAGCGGUGAAAUGCGUAGAUAUCAGGAAGAACACCGGUGGCGAAGGCGGCUUCCUGGUCCGUUACUGACGCUGAAGCGCGAAAGUGUGGGGAGCAAACAGGAUUAGAUACCCUGGUAGUCCACACUGUAAACGAUGAACACUAGGUGCCGGG
rnacentral:rRNA from 1 species